GUAAUCCAUCUGCCAUUCCUAGUAUGUUUCUGCGGCAGUGGCUUUGCAGCAGUUCCAGUCUGAGUUUGUUCACCAGAUAAUUUACAAAUCUCAGACUUCAAAAAUACAAUCUCCUGCCGCAAGAUAGAGAACUGUCUACAGAUUAGACAACAACCAAACCUCCAAAAAGUGAAACGUGAAACAAAUGCAUAGCAACUAUUACACUGAACUAAGUC